rnacentral:rRNA from 1 species
GCCUAAAGCGUCCGUAGCCUGUUCUAUAAGUUUCCGGUUAAAUCCACUAGCUCAACUAGUGGGCUGCCGAAAAUACUGUAGAACUAGGGAGUGGGAGAGGUAGACGGUAUUCGGUAGGAAGGGGUAAAAUCCUUUGAUCUAUCGAGGACCACCUGUGGCGAAGGCGGUCUACCAGAACACGUUCGACGGUGAGGGAUGAAAGCUGGGGGAGCAAACCGGAUUAGAUACCCGGGUAGUCCCAGCUGUAAACGAUGCAGACUCGGUGAUGCCCUGGCUUGUGGCCAGUGCAGUGCCGCAGGGAAGCCGUUAAGUUUGCCGCCUGGGAAGUACGUACGCAAGUAUGAAACUUAAAGGAAUUGGCGGGGGAGCACCACAAGGGGUGAAGCCUGCGGUUCAAUUGGAGUCAACGCCAGAAAUCUUACCCGAAGAGACAGCAGAAUGAAGGUCAAGCUGGAGACUUUACCAGACAAGCUGAGAAGUGGUGCAUGGCCGUCGCCAGCUCGUGCCGUGAGAUGUCCUGUUAAGUCAGGUAACGAGCGAGAUCCCUGCCUCUAGUUGCCACCAUUACUCUCAGGAGUAGUGGGGCGAAUUAGCGGGACCGCCGCAGUUAAUGCGGAGGAAGGAAGGGGCCACGGCAGGUCAGUAUGCCCCGAA